UGGGGAAUAUUGCACAAUGGGCGCAAGCCUGAUGCAGCGACGCCGCGUGGGGGAUGAAGGCCUUCGGGUUGUAAACUCCUUUCGCUAGGGACGAAGCCUUUUAGGUGACGGUACCUGGAGAAGAAGCACCGGCUAACUACGUGCCAGCAGCCGCGGUAAUACGUAGGGUGCGAGCGUUGUCCGGAAUUACUGGGCGUAAAGAGCUCGUAGGUGGUUUGUCGCGUCGUCUGUGAAAUCCCGGGGCUUAACUUCGGGCGUGCAGGCGAUACGGGCAUAACUUGAGUGCUGUAGGGGAGACUGGAAUUCCUGGUGUAGCGGUGAAAUGCGCAGAUAUCAGGAGGAACACCAAUGGCGAAGGCAGGUCUCUGGGCAGUAACUGACGCUGAGGAGCGAAAGCAUGGGUAGCGAACAGG
rnacentral:rRNA from 4 species